UAAGAAAAUGACUGCCAGUCUGAAAGUUA
rnacentral:piRNA from 1 species